rnacentral:tRNA from 1 species
GGAGGAGUCCGAUAGUUUGGUCAAUUCGGGAGGUUUGCUAAACCUCUGAGUCGCAAGACUCACGCGGGUUCGAAUCCCGCCUCCUCCG